AGAGUUUGAUCCUGGCUCAGAGCGAACGCUGGCGGCAGGCCUAACACAUGCAAGUCGAGCGCCGUAGCAAUACGGAGCGGCAGACGGGUGAGUAACGCGUGGGAACGUGCCCUUCGGUUCGGAAUAACUCAGGGAAACUUGAGCUAAUACCGGAUACGUCCGAAAGGAGAAAGAUUUAUCGCCGAAGGAUCGGCCCGCGUAAGAUUAGCUAGUUGGUAAGGUAACGGCUCACCAAGGCUCUGAUCUUUAGCUGGUCUGAGAGGACGAUCAGCCACACUGGGACUGAGACACGGCCCAGACUCCUACGGGAGGCAGCAGUGGGGAAUAUUGGACAAUGGGCGCAAGCCUGAUCCAGCCAUGCCGCGUGAGUGAUGAAGGCCUUAGGGUUGUAAA
rnacentral:rRNA from 1 species